CUGUGUGCCUCCACACACCCCCUGCUUAGGCUGGUCCCUCUCGGCUGCUUUCUAAGCUGUGCUGCUGGAGCCAUUGCUGCUCUGGCUUUCUUCUUUGUUCUUGCGUGGCUUGUGCUUUUUGUAAAAGAAAAUGUUCAGCACAGGUGGCCAGUGGAAGCAUGGCUCCGAGUGGUGCCUCCUCUCAUCGUCUGGCUGUUUUCUCAGGCUUUUAAUUUUAUGUUAUAAAAGGUUAUCUAGGCAGGAAGGUGCUCAGUACUUCACGGAUUUUAGGGUAUUGUGUUUCUGCAGUGCUAAUAGUGAAUUAUACAAAACUAAAGGAAUUGUGAUGAAAGUGUUUACAUGUACGUUUGUGGUUUGAUGCUGGUAGUUAAUGCUUUGUACCCUGGGUAUUUUACAAAAUAAAUGACUGAUACAGUUGAAUGCAAACUCGGAUGAAAGAUGUGGUCUUAGUAACCCCUUUGAGGCAUUUGAUCCUUGGCUCACAAUAGCUACCUACUUUGCCAGAGAAAUGCCCAUCAAUCCUGCCAAGUUCAAGGUAAGUGACAGCCUAAUUUGUAGGGGAGGGGAGGGCUGGAUUAUUACUUUAAAACCAGGUUAAUUUUUUUAGGACCAUAGCCGAGCAUGAGCUUUCCAGUCUAAAAUGGUAAUUUCCUUUCCCUUCAGCUUCUUCCGGAAAAGGCACUGCUGCAUCACUGUUGCCCUGUGUGCAGGAGUCUGAGCUGGUCAAAGGGUGGCACAGGUUUCCUUCAGAUUUCUUGGAGAAACCUGGAAUCUUGACAUCAAAUGCUAAUGCGCAAAUGCUAAGAGGAAUGGGGCAUCUCCUGUACAGAAGCCUGCUCGGGAACCUAGAUAAUGAAGGGUGACUGUGAAGUUGAAGAACAGAUUAGAAGUUCUCAUCUAAAAGAGCGAAGCAAAGUGCAGCAAUAAACAUGCAGUUCUUAGGAACUGUUAAUGACCGAUGAGGGUUCUGCCCAGAAGCUGAUAUCCAGCAUGCCUUCACAUCUGCAGAAAUGGUAGCUGAUUCGGCAGAAGAGGUUGGCCUGAACAGGAUAUUAAUGAGCUAUUAAUAGAGAAAAAUGAGAAAUUGCUUGAUUGUUGAUCUUCUAAUUGUUUGAGUUGGGGACAAAUUUUGAAUGCCAGUAAGUAAUCUAACUCUUUCAAAGCUAAUCAAAAUAGAUGUUGUUGUCAUGCAGAUUACCUUU